rnacentral:sRNA from 1 species
CCUUGAUGUUCCCAAUAACAGACAGAAAAACUAGGGCAGGGAGAAGAAGAACUGGAGCUCCCAGUUUCCUUCCCCUUGCACCCAGAAACAGGUUCUCUGAGCCCCUCUCCCCAUCCCAUGGAGGGUGGGGAUGGGUCUUAUGCACCCAGACUGUGUCCCUCCAGGGAGAAUGUGCUACGAAACCUAGCGGACAAGGCCUUUGACCGGCCCAUCUGCGAGGCCCUCCUGGACCAGAGGUUCUUCAAUGGCAUUGGCAACUAUCUGCGGGCAGAGAUCCUGUACCGGCUGAAGAUCCCCCCCUUUGAGAAGGCCCGCUCGGUCCUGGAGGCCCUGCAGCAGCGCAGGCCGAGCCCGGAGCUGACCCUGAGCCAGAAGAUCAGGACCAAGCUGCAGAAUCCAGACUUGCUGGAGCUAUGUCACUCAGUGCCCAAGGAAGUGGUCCAGUUGGGUGAGGCCAAAGAUGGCAGCAACCUCUGCUUCAGCAAAUGAUUGUGUAACCCUGGGGCACUUGUCCCUCUCUGGACUUGAUUCACCGAUUUGGAAGUUUGUAGCCCCAGCUGUUACUCAAUGGACUAGGCCUCCUCACUUGUCAAUAGUGUUUCCAGGCUGGGCGCAGUGGCUCGUGCCUGUAAUCCCAGCACUUUGGGAGGCCGAGUGGGGUGGAUCACCUGAGGUCAGGAGUUUGAGACCAUCCUGGCCAACAUGGUGAAACCCCAUCUCUACU